UACGGAGGGUGCAAGCGUUAUCCGGAUUUAUUGGGUUUAAAGGGUACGUAGGCGGUGGAGUAAGUCAGUGGUGAAAGCCAACAGCUCAACUGUUGAACUGCCAUUGAUACUGCUUCACUUGAGUGCAGUUGAGGUGGGUGGAAUUCCAUGUGUAACGGUGAAAUGCUUAGAUAUAUGGAGGAACACCGAUAACGAAGGUAACUCACUAAAACUGUAACUGACGCUGAGGUACGAAAGCGUGGGGAGCAAACAGG
rnacentral:rRNA from 1 species